rnacentral:rRNA from 1 species
GGUUCGAUUCUGGCUCAGAUUAAACGCUGGGCGGAUGUUUGCCAUUACGUAAGUCGAAACGGGCAGCACGGACUUCGGUCUGGUGGGCGAGUGGCGAACGGGUGAGUAAUGUAUCGGAACGUGCCUAGUAGCGGGGGAUAACUACGCGAAAGCGUAGCCGGGAUGUAUACCGCAUACGCCCUCGGGGGAAAGCGGGGACCCGGCCCCGCACUAUUAGAGCGGGCCGGGAUAAUGGAUUAGCUAGUUGCGGGUAACGGCUCACCAAGGCGACGAUCCGUAGCUGGUUUGAGGCACGACCAGCCACACUGGGACUGAGACACGGCCCAGACUGGCUACGAGGCGCAGUGGGGGGAAUUUUGGACAAUGGGAAACCCUGAUCCAGCCAUUCCGCGUGUGCGAUGAAGGCCUUGCUGUGAAGCACUUUUUGGCAGGAAAGAAACGGCACGGGAUAAUACCCCGCGCAACUGACGGUACCUGCAGAAUAAGCACCGCCAACUACGCCAGCAGCCGCGUAACAUGUAGGUGCGGCGUUAAUCGGAAUACAUUGGCGUAAAGCGUGCGCAGGCGGUUCGGAAAGAAAGAUGUGAAAUCCCGCAGAGUUUAACUUUGGAACUGCAUUUUUAACUACUGAGCUAGAGUGUGUCAGAGGGAGGGAAUUCCGCGUGCAGCAGUGAAAUGCGUGAUAUGGAGGAACACCGAUAUGAAGGCAGCCUCCCGGAUAAUAACACGGACGCUCAUGCACGAAAGCGUGGGGAGCAAACAGGAUUAGAUACCCUGGUAGUCCACGCCCUAAACGAUGUCAACUAGCUGUUGGGGCCUCGGGCCUUGGUAGCGCAGCUAAUGCGAAGUUGACCGCCUGGGGAGUACGGUCGCAAGAUUAAAACUCAGCGAAUUGACGGGGACCCGCACAAGCGGCGGAUGAUGGGAUUAACGAUGCAACGCGAAAACCUUACCUACUCCUGACAUGUCUGGAAUCCCGAAGAGAUUUGGGAGUGCUCAAAGAGAACCGAAACACAGGUGCUGCAUGGCUGUCGUCAGCUCGUGUCGUAGAUACAGUCCCAACGAGCGCAACCUUGCUCACGAAGCUGCUACGAAAGGGCACCCAUCGAGACUGCCGGUGACAAACCGGAGGAAGGUGGGGAUGACGCCAAGUCCUCAUGGCCCUUGCGGGUAGGCUUCAAUACCGCCUAUACAAUGGUCGGGACAGAGGGUCGCCAACCCGCGAGGGGGAGCUGUCCCGUGAAACCUGAUCGUAGUCCGGAUCGUGAAGUUCGCAACUCGACCGCGUGAAGUCGGAAUCGCUAGUAAUCGCGGAUCAGCAUGUCGCGUGAAUACGUUCGGGUCUUGUACACACCGCCCGUCACACCAUGUGGAGUGGGUUUUACCAGAAGUAGUUAGGCCCAACCCGUAAGGAGGGCGAUUACCACGGUAGGAUCAUGACUGGGUGAAGUCGUAACAAGGUAG